rnacentral:misc_RNA from 1 species
UACGUAGGGGGCAAGCGUUGUCCGGAAUUAUUGGGCGUAAAGCGCGCGCAGGCGGUCCUUCAAGUCUGAUGUGAAAUCUUGCGGCUCAACCGCUAGCGGUCAUAGGAAACUGGGGGACUAGAGUACAGAAGAGGAGAGCGGAAUUCCACGUGUAGCGGUGAAAUGCGUAGAGCUGUUGAGGAACACCAGUGGCGAAGGCGGCUCUCUGGUCUGUAACUGACGCUGAGGCGCGAAAGCGUGGGGAGCAAACAGG